rnacentral:rRNA from 1 species
CUACCAAGACAGUGACGGUUGACGGGGAAUCAGGGUUUGAUACCGGAGAGGGAGCCUGAGAGAUAGCUCCCACGUCCAUGGACGGCAGCAGGCGCGAAAAUUGCCCACUCUUUGCAGGAGGCAGUUAUGAGACGUGAAAGUGAAUAUUCAGUAAAGAUGAAUAGGAGAAUUGGAGGGCAAGUUUGGUGCCAGCCGCCGCGGUAAUACCGACUCCAAGGGUGUGUAUGAGAGAUGCUGCAGUUAAAAAGUCCGUAGUCAUAGAAGAAGAAACAGGGAUGCGAAGUCUCAGUAUUUAGUGAUGGAAAAACCGAUGGGGAACAUAGUAUACCAGGGCGAGAGAUGAAAUGCCAAGACCCCUGGUGGACUAGGCGAGGCGAAAGCGAUGUUCUUGUAGGGAUUUGAUGAUCAAGGACGAAGGCUGGAGUAUCGAAAGUGAUUAGAUACCGCAGUAGUUCCAGCAGUAAAAGAUGCC